rnacentral:tRNA from 1 species
GCUGGGUUAGUUCAUGCUGGUAGAGCAUGAGACCCUUCAUCUCAGGGUUGUGGGUUCAAGCACCACAUUGGGCA